AUGUGUAGGGUACGAAAAGGAUGGGCAGAGUCCCAGCUACGGCGAGGUUGUAUGAGUUCAGGCCCCUCUACGGUGGAGGUAAUAGCCCUACGUCUCAGUGCUCUGGGAGCUUGUUGUCGAGUGGAAUAUGGAAUACCAUGAGUUGCUAACCCCUCUACCAGCGGGGGAGGGUGGCUUAUAUAGAGUGCGCUGCCCUCCACAACGAUUCCGGUACAGGGGUGGAGUAGUGGCGAUUGAAUGCGUACGUUACAGGUAACGUACGUCCUAAAUGCUAAUAAAUGCAGCUGGAAACGUACGACCGUUUCCCUCCAGGGGGGUUACGAUGUACCGAGUGGUAUCCAGUCGGUUAGCUUGAUAUCCUCCGAAUGCUAGUCUCCGACUGGAUGAUCGAGGACCUGUUACCGACUGGAUGAUGGGGACUCCUUAAUUCAGUCGGAGCUGACAAAGGGCCUUGUCCUUUGUGAGGGGUAGUCCUUGGGUAGGACCUACAGGGUGGGCCUAUGACCCUACCCUAGGACUAUAACCCCAUCAGUCUCCUUCCUCAGGGGCGACAAGAUCGUCACCAUCGUCUUCCUCACCCCCGCAUCGGACCACAAGGGCCCCGAAGGCUUCUCCGUCGACGUCCACUACGCUGCGACCCCUGCUUCAUCUACGUC
rnacentral:lncRNA from 1 species